rnacentral:lncRNA from 1 species
CUUGGGGAGAGAUCAGGCCCACCCAGGCACCUUCUUUUCCGAACUGGUGGGAGAACUUUGUGGCUGGUUGUCUUUUGUUGGAAGGACUUCACCACCAUCACCCUGAUCUUUCCUUCCAGUGCUGUAUAGAGGGGCUUGUCACCAAUAACUAGAGACCCGGGAAGGCUAGCUAUUCCCUCAGAGAAAUGAAGAACGUGAACAAGGGCCCUUAGCAGACCAAAGAGAUCCAGUACAGGGUUAAGUUCCCAGUAGAGAUGUUGUGCUGGGCACAGUUCUGCCUCUCCUCUGAAAACUCUUACGGUGGUCUGCCUGUGCCCGAGGGUUGGUGUCGAUGAAAACCACGAGCUUCCUGCCACAAAUAUUAAGGGUCCCAAGGAAGUGCCAACAAAAUGCUAACCCAAGGGUAAGGUUUUCUGGAAAUCAGUCGUUUAAAAACAUAACAAAACAAAACAAAACAAUAAAGCCACUUCUCAACCUUUGAAGGCAUGCAAGGCACAAUUUCUAGAGAAGGGAAAGUUCGCCCUCUAGUGGCCAAGAGAAAACAGUUCAUGAAAUUGAACCGUGGAUCCUAUGGUGCUUUUUAAAAGAAACUCAACCUCUAAGUUAUGACUUUAUUCUGCCCUUUGUGUCGACACUUCCUUACUAAUGGAUCUUGAUUACUAUAUAGUUCUACUGUUAGUUUAACAGUUUUAUAAUACUACGCUCUUCUCUAACUUUUAAAAGCAUCAGAAGGGAAAAAAAUCCAGGUGGAGAAUUUAUUCUUACUUGGUACAUUUUUAAAGUCCUAGGUGUGAUGUGAAUGCUAAAUAGAAGCAUACCUUGAUUUACUUUGCUUUGA